UUUAACAAAGAGAAGCAAAGCCGCGAGGUAGAGCAAAUCUCAAAAAAACAUCUCAGUUCAGACUGCAGGCUGCAACUCGCCUGCACGAAGUCGGAAUUGCUAGUAAUCGUAGGUCAGCAUACUACGGUGAAUACGUUCCCGGGCCUUGUACACACCGCCCGUCAAACCAUGAGAGUUGGCAACACCCGAAGUCGGUAGUCUAACCGCAAGGAGGACGCCGCCGAAGGUGGGGUUGAUGAUUAGGGUUAAGUCGUAACAAGGUAAC
rnacentral:rRNA from 1 species